GACAGAGGGGGCAAGCGUUGCUCGGAAUCACUGGGCGUAAAGGGCGCGUAGGCGGGAUGGCAAGUCAGUCGUGAAAUCUCUCGGCUCAACCGAGAAACGUCGGCUGAUACUGCCGUUCUUGAGGGAUGCAGAGGAGACUGGAAUUCCCGGUGUAGCGGUGAAAUGUGUAGAGAUCGGGAGGAACACCGGUGGCGAAGGCGGUUCUCUGGGCAUUACCUGACGCUGAGGAGCGAAAGUGUGGGGAGCGAACAGG
rnacentral:rRNA from 1 species